rnacentral:rRNA from 1 species
AAUGGGUCAGCGACUUAUAUUCUGUAGCAAGGUUAACCGUAUAGGGGAGCCGCAGGGAAACCGAGUCUUAAUUGGGCGUUAAGUUGCAGGGUAUAGACCCGAAACCCGGUGAUCUAGCCAUGGGCAGGUUGAAGGUUGGGUAACACUAACUGGAGGACCGAACCGACUAAUGUUGAAAAAUUAGCGGAUGACCUGUGGCUGGGGGUGAAAGGCCAAUCAAACCGGGAGAUAGCUGGUUCUCCCCGAAAGCUAUUUAGGUAGCGCCUCGUGAAUUCAUCUCCGGGGGUAGAGCACUGUUUCGGCUAGGGGGCCAUCCCGGCUUACCAACCCGAUGCAAACUGCGAAUACCGGAGAAUGUUAUCACGGGAGACACACGGCGGGUGCUAACGUCCGUCGUGAAGAGGGAAACAACCCAGACCGCCAGCUAAGGUCCCAAAGUCAUGGUUAAGUGGGAAACGAUGUGGGAAGGCCCAGACAGCCAGGAUGUUGGCUUAGAAGCAGCCAUCAUUUAAAGAAAGCGUAAUAGCUCACUGGUCGAGUCGGCCUGCGCGGAAGAUGUAACGGGGCUAAACCAUGCACCGAAGCUGCGGCAGCGAACGUAUCACUUAAAGCGAUUCAGCGGGUUACGAUUGACGGAGCGAAGCGACGUCAAAGCGUAUACAAAGUCGAGUCGGUUUAAGGAUACGUUCGUUGGGUAGGGGAGCGUUCUGUAAGCCUGCGAAGGUGGCCUGUGAGGGUUGCUGGAGGUAUCAGAAGUGCGAAUGCUGACAUAAGUAACGAUAAAGCGGGUGAAAAGCCCGCUCGCCGGAAGACCAAGGGUUCCUGUCCAACGUUAAUCGGGGCAGGGUGAGUCGACCCCUAAGGCGAGGCCGAAAGGCGUAGUCGAUGGGAAACGGGUUAAUAUUCCCGUACUUGGUGUUACUGCGAAGGGGGGACGGAGAAGGCUAUGUUGGCCGGGCGACGGUUGUCCCGGUUUAAGCGUGUAGGUGUGUGUUCCAGGUAAAUCCGGUUCACUUUAACACUGAGGCGUGACGACGAGGCACUACGGUGCUGAAGCAACAAAUGCCCUGCUUCCAGGAAAAGCCUCUAAGCAUCAGGUAACAUCAAAUCGUACCCCAAACCGACACAGGUGGUCAGGUAGAGAAUACCAAGGCGCUUGAGAGAACUCGGGUGAAGGAACUAGGCAAAAUGGUGCCGUAACUUCGGGAGAAGGCACGCUGACACGUAGGUGAAGUGAUUUACUCAUGGAGCUGAAGUCAGUCGAAGAUACCAGCUGGCUGCAACUGUUUAUUAAAAACACAGCACUGUGCAAACACGAAAGUGGACGUAUACGGUGUGACGCCUGCCCGGUGCCGGAAGGUUAAUUGAUGGGGUCAGCGCAAGCGAAGCUCCUGAUCGAAGCCCCGGUAAACGGCGGCCGUAACUAUAACGGUCCUAAGGUAGCGAAAUUCCUUGUCGGGUAAGUUCCGACCUGCACGAAUGGCGUAAUGAUGGCCAGGCUGUCUCCACCCGAGACUCAGUGAAAUUGAACUCGCUGUGAAGAUGCAGUGUACCCGCGGCAAGACGGAAAGACCCCGUGAACCUUUACUAUAGCUUGACACUGAACACUGGUCCUUGAUGUGUAGGAUAGGUGGGAGGCUUUGAAGUGUGGACGCCAGUCUGCAUGGAGCCAUCCUUGAAAUACCACCCUUUAAUGGCUGGUGUUCUAACGUAGACCCGUAAUCCGGGUUGCGGACAGUGUCUGGUGGGUAGUUUGACUGGGGCGGUCUCCUCCUAAAGAGUAACGGAGGAGCACGAAGGUUGGCUAAUCCUGGUCGGACAUCAGGAGGUUAGUGCAAUGGCAUAAGCCAGCUUGACUGCGAGCGUGACGGCGCGAGCAGGUGCGAAAGCAGGUCAUAGUGAUCCGGUGGUUCUGAAUGGAAGGGCCAUCGCUCAACGGAUAAAAGGUACUCCGGGGAUAACAGGCUGAUACCGCCCAAGAGUUCAUAUCGACGGCGGUGUUUGGCACCUCGAUGUCGGCUCAUCACAUCCUGGGGCUGAAGUAGGUCCCAAGGGUAUGGCUGUUCGCCAUUUAAAGUGGUACGCGAGCUGGGUUUAGAACGUCGUGAGACAGUUCGGUCCCUAUCUGCCGUGGGCGCUGGAGAACUGAGGGGGGCUGCUCCUAGUACGAGAGGACCGGAGUGGACGCAUCACUGGUGUU